rnacentral:rRNA from 1 species
GGCUGUCGUCAGCUCGUGUCGUGAGAUGUUGGGUUAAGUCCCGCAACGAGCGCAACCCUUUCCUAUUUGCCAGCGGUUAAGCCGGGAACUUUAAGGAUACUGCCAGUGACAAACUGGAGGAAGGCGGGACGACGUCAAGUCAUCAUGGCCCUUACGACCAGGGCUACACACGUGCUACAAUGGUCGGUACAAAGGGUUGCUACCUAGCGAUAGGAUGCUAAUCUCAAAAAGCCGAUCGUAGUCCGGAUUGGAGUCUGCAACUCGACUCCAUGAAGUCGGAAUCGCUAGUAAUCGCGGAUCAGAAUGCCGCGGUGAAUACGUUCCCGGGCCUU